rnacentral:SRP_RNA from 1 species
CCGGAAGUCGGUUGGACGGAUCGCUCGCUAACCCGGUCAGGUCGGGAACGAAGCAGCCGUAACGAAUCCGCUCCGGGUCAGCCGGCUUCCGCCUU